UCUUGUGACACGGGGUGCUCUCCUUCCCGGGGAGCUGAGAUCAAACCCGUCGAACCUGAUCCGGCUAAUACCGGCGAAGGAAUCGUCACGGUUGGUUUUG
rnacentral:ncRNA from 2 species